rnacentral:lncRNA from 1 species
UUUUUUUUUUUUCUUUCACACAGAGUCUCGGCCUGUCUCCCAGGCUGGAGUGCAAUGGCACGAUCGCAGCUCACUGCAACUUCCACCUCCCGGGUUCAAGGAAUUCUCCUGCCUCAGCCUCCCAAGUAGCUGGGACUAGAGGUGCACGCCACCACACCUGGCUAAUUUUUGUUUUAUUGUUGUUGUUUUGAGACGGAGUCUCGCUCUGCCACCCAGGCUGGAGUGCAGUGGCGCGAUCUCAGCUCACUGCAAGCUCUGCCUCCUGGGUUCACCCCAUUCUCCUGACUCAGCCUCCCGAGUAGCUGGGACUGCAGGCACCCGCCACCACACCCAGCUAAUUUUUUGUAGUUUUAGUAGAGACGGGGUUUCACCGUGUUAGCCAGGAUGGUCUCGAUCUCCUCACCUUGUGAUCCGCCCGCCUCAGCCUCCCAAAGUGCUGGGAUUACAGGCAUGAGACACCGUGCCGGGUCAAUUUUUGUAUUUUCAGUAGAGACGGGGUUUCACUGUGUUAGUCAGGAUGGUCUCGAUCUCCUGACCUCAUGAUCUGCCUGCCUCGACCUCCCAAAGUGCUGGGAUGACAGGUGUGAGCCACGGCGCCCGGCCUCAUUCUGACGAGUUUGACUUUAGUUACUAUAACAACUCACUCAGUGCUUUCAUCAACUGCUAAAUCCCAUUUUACAUAGGAGGAAACUGAGUCUCAGAGAAGUUAAGUGACCUACUUAGGACCCCAUAGUUGCUAAGUAAACUUAGGAUUUUAUCCCAGGCAGUCUCACUCCAGGAGAUAUUCCCAUAACCUUACACCAUCAUACAGAAUCCAGUUAGGAUCUGCUCAGGUAGUGACAUUAGAUUGGACCUCCCCAUGAACCCGAGCUUGGAGCAAGGGGCAUCCACAUCCACUCCAAAAGUGGGUUUUGAGGACUGGGCACAGUGGCUCAUGCCUGUGAUCCCAGCACUUUGGGAGGCCAAGGUGCACGGAUCACCUGAGGUCAGGAUUUCAAGAUCAGCCUGGCCAACAUGAUGAAACCUCGUCUCUACUAAAAAGGAAAAAACUAGCUGGGUGUAGUGGCGCAUGCCUGUAAUCCCGGCUACUCAGGAGGCUGAGGCAGGAGAAUCACUUAACCAGGAGGCAGAGCUUGUGGUGAACUGAGCCCCUGCCACUGCACUCCAGCCUGGGUGACAGAGUGAGACUGCAUCUCAAAACAACAACAACAAAAAAGUGGGGUUUUCAAUCUCUUGCACCUGGCUUUCCCCUCAAAAGAAAUCCAGAGAUUUUAGUUAGCUAUUGCUGUGUAACAAAUUGCCCCGAAACUUCCUGGGCCAUUGACAUGAAUUGUUGAAACAAUGAAGAUUUAUUAUCUCACAGUUUCUGAUGGUCCAGAAUCAGGGGGCAGCUUUGUUGGUUCAACAUAGGGUCACUGAUGAAUAAUUAUUCAUGUUCCAGCCUCUUUUUUUUUUUUUUUUUGAGACAGGGUCUCAGACUCACAGGCUCAGUGACGUGGG